rnacentral:lncRNA from 1 species
AAAGACUACCAACUUUCUUAGGUGCCUCCUUUUCCCUCUACCUCGCCCCUCAAAACACGGUAUCCAUACUGAAGCUGUUCAUUUUGUUAUCGACUUCCUUAAAUUGUCAUGCUGAUGCCAGCUGUAAAGUAGAUUUGUUGGUAGCCUCUGAGUUGCUGUUGAAGCUGUG